CCCUUAGAUGUUCUGGGCUGCACGCGCGCUACACUGAUGCGUUCAACGAGUUUAUGACCUUGCCCGAUAGGGUUGGGUAAUCUUUUUAAAUCGCAUCGUGAUGGGGAUAGAUUAUUGCAAUUAUUAAUCUUCAACGAGGAAUUCCUAGUAAGCGCGAGUCAUCAGCUCGUGCUGAUUACGUCCCUGCCCUUUGUACACACCGCCCGUCGCUCCUACCGAUUGUGUGAUCCGGUGAAUAAUUCGGACUGCAGCAGUGUUCGGUCACGAACGUUGCAGCGGAAAGUUUAGUGAACCUUAUCACUUAGAGGAAGGAGAAGUCGUAACA
rnacentral:rRNA from 1 species